rnacentral:rRNA from 1 species
UACAGAGGGUGCGAGCGUUAAUCGGAAUUACUGGGCGUAAAGGGCGCGUAGGCGGUUUAUCAAGUGAUAUGUGAAAUCCCCGAGCUUAACUUGGGAACUGCCAUUGAUACUAUCAGUCUUGAAUACUGUGGAGGUUAGCGGAAUAUGUCAUGUAGCGGUGAAAUGCUUAGAUAUGACAUAGAACACCAAUUGCGAAGGCAGCUGGCUACACAAUUAUUGACACUGAGGCUCGAAAGCGUGGGGAUCAAACAGG